CGCUGGCGGCGUGCCUAACACAUGCAAGUCGAGCGAGGAGAUCCUCGGGAUGAUCCUAGCGGCGGACGGGUGAGUAACACGUGGGCAACCUGCCUCAUAGAGAGGAAUAGCCUUCCGAAAGGGAGAUUAAUACCUCAUAACAUUGCAGUUUCGCAUGGAACAGCAAUUAAAGGAGCAAUCCGCUAUGAGAUGGGCCCGCGGCGCAUUAGCUAGUUGGUGAGGUAACGGCUCACCAAGGCGACGAUGCGUAGCCGACCUGAGAGGGUGAUCGGCCACAUUGGGACUGAGACACGGCCCAGACUCCUACGGGAGGCAGCAGUGGGGAAUAUUGCACAAUGGGGGAAACCCUGAUGCCAGCAACGCCGCGUGAGUGAUGACGGCCUUCGGGUUGUAAAGCUCUGUCUUCAGGGACGAUAAUGACGGUACCUGAGGAGGAAGCCACGGCUAACUACGUGCCAGCCGCCGC
rnacentral:rRNA from 1 species